CUCUGAUUGUUACAUGCUGUAGUACAGAGGAGCCCUUAGUCAGGUCUCUGAAGUAGGAAGCAUCUGUACUUCCACACAUUGAAGAAUGACACUAUGAUGUGUUUUUCACUGUGUUCUUCAUUUUGACAAAAGGCAUGUUCAUCUCAGUGCCAAGAGACAUGAUGAAUGCCAGCUCUGAAGUGAAAGGAUACAGGAACAGGCUGUAUCUAACUGUGACUACACAAUGCGGAAAACAGAAUUGUUAAUACAGUAAAGCUGUGAGUGAACUCAUCCCCCCCAUCACCACUGCAUCUUCCAGACUCAGAGCUCUUCUUUUGUCUUUGCUGAAAGCAGAAACAGGGACUCUCAGAGAGCUCUUCUAGACAGCAUGGGUGCUGUAACACAUGAAACAGCGUUGUGAAUGCUGAACUUUGGUAUAACUGAGGCUUGGGAAGUUGGCUGAGGCUAUGCAACAGCAGCAUCAAUGGGCCAGAAAGCUGCAAAUGGGUUGUUAUGAGAAGGAUAAGGAGCAAGCUAAAUCUUGUAAGAGCUGAAAAAUAUCU
rnacentral:lncRNA from 1 species